CUGGGUGGCAAUACUGAAGAGGCAACACCUGGUCCCAUACCGAACCCAGAAGUUAAGCUCUUCAAGGCCGAUGAUACUGCUCUUGUACGGGAGUGGGAAAGUAGGUAGCUGCCUCGG
rnacentral:rRNA from 1 species